rnacentral:lncRNA from 1 species
AGGACAUACAUUUAUACUAAUAUUUGAAAUUUUGUUAAAAGUAUUUAUAAUCUGUUUUCCUUGUGAUAUAUGCAGAUACAAAAUUAAUGUAAUGUAGAAAAGCUAAACAAAUAUUGGCAUUUACCAGUAGAUACGUUGUAUUUAUAGACAACGACAGUUCCUGAUUGGUCUUGUCCUGGUUUAAUACAUAAAACAUGUUAACAUUUACCAGUAGAUAAUUAGUUGUAUUUAUAGACAACGAUAGUUCCUGAUUGGUCUUGUCCUGGUUUGAUACAUAAAACAUGUUAAAAUUAAAUACUUAUUUUUUAAUUUUCUUUCUUUUUUGUUAUUUAUUAGCGUUUAGAUAUGAAGUUAGUAUUUACAGUGGUCUAUUAACUGUUUGCUGUAAAUAAGAUUGUAAAGUCCAUUUCACUAUUCCAUUGUGCAUUUUACAUUGAGACCAUCUGGUAUGUGUUUGCUGUUCUUAUGAAUUAUAUGUGCCACAUGUAGAGCAGGGUCUGCUUACCCUUCCGGAGCACUUGCGAUCCCCCCUAGUUUUUGGUAGGGACCGUGUUGUUUAUUCUCUUGUUUUCUAUGGUGUGUCAUGUGUACUAUAAUUUGUCUGUUUGUCUUUUUCUUUUCACGCAUGGCGUUGUGAGUUUAUUUCUGAUUUAUGACUGUCCCUCUGGUAUCUUUCGUCCCUCUUUUUUUCUGGUAACAUUGACUGACUGAUUGUUCAUAUCAACUGAUUGAACUAAAAUCUACAUACUAAACUUAUGACCAAUGUCUUUCAUUUAUAGUGAUAAAAUUGAAAAUGGAAAUUGGCAAUGUAUCGAAGAGACUACAACCCAACCAUAGAACAGACAACAGCAGAAGGUUACCAACAGGUCUUCAAUGCAGCGAGAAAUUCCCGUUUUUUAUUGUUUGAUUUCACCUUACAUAGAGUAUUUAUAUAACAUAUAUAAAUGUAAUGUGAAA